AGUUAUAACUUAUCGAAAUAAGAUUGUAAUUUGAAAUUACAAAUAAAGGGUUUAACUCCCUUAAUAACUU
rnacentral:tRNA from 1 species